rnacentral:rRNA from 1 species
GGAUGAGCGCUGGCGGCGUGCCUAAUACAUGCAAGUCGAGCGAACGGACGAGAAGCUUGCUUUUCUGAUGUUAGCGGCGGACGGGUGAGUAACACGUGGAUAACCUACCUAUAAGACUGGGAUAACUUCGGGAAACCGGAGCUAAUACCGGAUAAUAUUUUGAACCGCAUGGUUCAAAAGUGAAAGACGGUCUUGCUGUCACUUAUAGAUGGAUCCGCGCUGCAUUAGCUAGUUGGUAAGGUAACGGCUUACCAAGGCAACGAUGCAUAGCCGACCUGAGAGGGUGAUCGGCCACACUGGAACUGAGACACGGUCCAGACUCCUACGGGAGGCAGCAGUAGGGAAUCUUCCGCAAUGGGCGAAAGCCUGACGGAGCAACGCCGCGUGAGUGAUGAAGGUCUUCGGAUCGUAAAACUCUGUUAUUAGGGAAGAACAUAUGUGUAAGUAACUGUGCACAUCUUGACGGUACCUAAUCAGAAAGCCACGGCUAACUACGUG